UGAUUAAUCAUCAUAUUACUGCAUUACACAGAUAUUUACAACUGCUAUUAUAGCAGAUAUAUUACACUGAUAUUUACAAUCAGAAAUACAUGAUUGGGACUUAUAUUAUUACAUUGAAUUCUGUGAAGUACAUGCCCAGACAAAUAAUCCCUUACAGAAGAGGGAUGUCCAUACUCCACUCGUAUUGCACGAGGGAGAGGAAAUUUUUGAAAUAUUAAACAAAUAAGCACGUUAGCCCCCACAAAUGUUUUUGCGGGGGCUUGAACCGCUGCCCUCACAAUGCUUGUGAGGGCAGCAGCCCACCACUCCGAC
rnacentral:lncRNA from 1 species